UUCGCAUGGGGUGAGAUUUCGCUUAUGAUAGCCUUCAAGGGUUAACAUCGAACCUAUGCGAUACACAACCAUUGUAUUUAUCCUCAAAGCUACGAUAAAACACGACGCAGCAACUCUUUCGCGGGUAUCGUGGCGUUUAGCGCGCCAUGAGCAGAAGACAGAAAAGGUGUAGUAGGGUUCGAAAGUGUUCGGUGAUGGUAUUGUUUCGUUUAAGGUGAUAAAAUGACGUGAUCGACGAUGCAUCCGCACUACCGUUGACUAACGUCAUCGAUUUAAAUUUACACGACGAUGUUCGGAAUUUUGAAAGCACCGCGCGCUCGAUCACCGUGUGACAGAACUUCCGAGGAAUCUAAAACAGCGCGAGCACUUUCCCAUAACUUCGAACAACAUCAAACUUUUUCGCUCCUAAAAUAAUAGUAUAAUGAAAAAGGUGAAAAUUUCGUCAUCAUUUCAGUGAAAGGAAUGAAUAUGUAAUGGUAAAUUAGGAAAACUGCAUUGGUAUUUAUGUUGAUUUUUAAUACGUCGAUCUCAAUAUGAAUAUGUUCGAAAUUAUUUCUCUAGAAUAAUAUAAGAAAGCCGUUAAAAAUGUAUCACUUAAUUUUCUAAUUAAUUUUUGAAAAUUCAAAAUUACUAUACAUUUUCUUGCUCGAUUUACAGUUAAAAAUAAUUGAAUUACUCAUACUCGUAACUGUUAUAUAUAUAUUGCAUAAUAUAAAAUAAUUAAAAUACACGUGGUUUGCAUUUCCAUUAUAUUAUUAUAUUUAUGACAAUAGUAGGAAAUAAAUCAUACGUUAAAUAUGA